rnacentral:lncRNA from 1 species
CACAUCCAUUCACUGGCUCCCCACGUCGUCCUCAUCAGGAAAAACUCCCAGCGGGAUUCCUGAGCGUCACGCCCAGUGUCCUGACAGUUCCUCUGUGUGCCUCCAGAUCUCCCCGAGAUAGUGCUGGAUGACGUGCCUGCGGUGAGGGUGGCGGGACGGCCUCCAUUCGCUCCGCGGGUGGCCUUCAUGGUGAACAAAACACGUUCAGCUGUUUUGACAGGAUAAUCUGAAUAUGUUUCCUGAUGAAAAAGAUACUUUGCUGCCUAGAUUGUUCUGUGAUAAGCACUGUUAAAGAGCAUAUUUAAUGAAUUGCAAAA